GACGAACGCUGGCGGCGUGCCUAAUACAUGCAAGUUGAGCGACGAAGAUUGGUGCUUGCACCAAUUUGAAGAGCAGCGAACGGGUGAGUAACGCGUGGGGAAUCUGCCUUUGAGCGGGGGACAACAUUUGGAAACGAAUGCUAAUACCGCAUAAUAACUUUAAACAUAAGUUUUAAGUUUGAAAGAUGCAAUUGCAUCACUCAAAGAUGAUCCCGCGUUGUAUUAGCUAGUUGGUGAGGUAAAGGCUCACCAAGGCGAUGAUACAUAGCCGACCUGAGAGGGUGAUCGGCCACAUUGGGACUGAGACACGGCCCAAACUCCUACGGGAGGCAGCAGUAGGGAAUCUUCGGCAAUGGACGAAAGUCUGACCGAGCAACGCCGCGUGAGUGAAGAAGGUUUUCGGAUCGUAAAACUCUGUUGGUAGAGAAGAACGUUGGUGAGAGUGGAAAGCUCAUCAAGUGACGGUAACUACCCAGAAAGGGACGGCUAACUACGUG
rnacentral:rRNA from 1 species